AGAAUGACUCUGAACUGAGAGCAAUGGGCCAUGUCCAGCUGCUCAAGAAUAUCCCUAUUCCAAGACAGGUAGCUCCGAUAGCACUUUGAGCAUAUCAGUGUCUCUGUGACCAGGUUGUAAAAGUGGUCAAUAUCCCGCACCUGCCUGUGAAAACCUCCACUGCUCAGAGGGUGCUUACAGGCUUGGUCAGUGCAAAGGAACCGAACCUUCCACAGCCUGUACGGCAUCCACAGCAGUAAGGGAUGGGCCAAAAACCUGGCAGAUGUUGCAGACGGCUGAGGGGGAAAAUACCACAGCUGAUGACGGGCCUGGAACUCCAGUUUCCCUUUGGCACAAAACUCUAAAUAAGACUGUUGAUACCCACUGGUCCUCCUCUGGCAUGGUCUUAGGCCACAGCAGCGCCAUAGAAAGAGAGAGUUACGACACUCCCAUAGACUUCUAUAGAAAGAAUGGAAUGCAGAAGUCACGUGGGUCAUGGAGCUGUGAAUAGUUCCAAACACCAGCAGCUCCAGCACUGGACGUAGUUCAUUCUCGGUGUUUCAGAACGAUUUUUUUCCGGUAAACUCACACGAGAAUGGCUUAAAUGAACUGCUGGACCAUGUUGCAUACAAAGCACCACAAAUAGUAUCCAUGGCAUUUGGGAGCUCCAUGACAGAUUUAUUGGACCUCGUUCUGAAAAGUUUUUCAACUUUCUGGACCAGACUGAAGGCUUCAUGUGAUGGCCAACACAGCGCUCCUGGUUUGAAUUCCUUCAGUAUCAAUAAGGAUCUUUUGGGAAGCCAUACAUACGGAUUCCUUUCUCUGACCGAUUGGUGCAUCCAAAUGCAGCACACCCAACCAUGGGAGGUCAGCAGAUGUGGUGAAUGACUUCAAAGGGAGCUGCUGUCAAUUAUGCCAAGGAGGAUGAACCUUCAUUCGGACUUGGGCACAUUUCUACCUUGUUUAGAUUUGAUCAGAUACAGUUUAUUGGUGCAGAUGUAAUUAAUAAACUGUAUAAAUGGUAGUGCAAGUACUUAUUUAUUAAAGCUAGUUUUGCAUUUUACGUUUCUUACAAUAAAUUGUUUGGUCAUUGAUUUUUGCACAAUUCAGUUGUUUUGUCAUCUAAUAUUAUUUUAUCUAGAGUUUCAAUUAAAUGAACAUUUUAAUCAAUGAAUUACAA